rnacentral:rRNA from 1 species
AAACGACUGCUAAUACUCUAUACUCCUGUCUAACAUAAGUUAGAUAGGGAAAGUUUUUCGGUGUAGGAUGAGGCUAUAUUGUAUCAGCUAGUUGGUGAGGUAAUGGCUCACCAAGGCUAUGACGCAUAACUGGUCUGAGAGGAUGAUCAGUCACACUGGAACUGAGACACGGUCCAGACUCCUACGGGAGGCAGCAGUAGGGAAUAUUGCUCAAUGGGGGAAACCCUGAAGCAGCAACGCCGCGUGGAGGAUGACACUUUUCGGAGCGUAAACUCCUUUUGUUAGGGAAGAAUAAUGACGGUACCUAACGAAUAAGCACCGGCUAACUCCGUGCCAGCAGCCGCGGUAAUACGGAGGGUGCAAGCGUUACUCGGAAUCACUGGGCGUAAAGGACGCGUAGGCGGAUUAUCAAGUCUCUUGUGAAAUCCUAUGGCUUAACCAUAGAACUGCUUGGGAAACUGAUAAUCUAGAGUGAGGGAGAGGCAGAUGGAAUUGGUGGUGUAGGGGUAAAAUCCGUAGAGAUCACCAGGAAUACCCAUUGCGAAGGCGAUCUGCUGGAACUCAACUGACGCUAAUGCGUGAAAGCGUGGGGAGCAAACAGGAUUAGAUACCCUGGUAGUCCACGCCCUAAACGAUGUAUACUAGUUGUUGCUAAGCUAGUCUUGGCAGUAAUGCACCUAACGGAUUAAGUAUACCGCCUGGGGAGUACGGUCGCAAGAUUAAAACUCAAAGGAAUAGACGGGGACCCGCACAAGCGGUGGAGCAUGUGGUUUAAUUCGAAGAUACGCGAAGAACCUUACCCGGACUUGAUAUCUAACAAAUCAUCCAGAGAUGGAAGAGUGUCUGCUUGCAGAAAUGUUAAGACAGGUGCUGCACGGCUGUCGUCAGCUCGUGUCGUGAGAUGUUGGGUUAAGUCCCGCAACGAGCGCAACCCACGUCAUUAGUUGCUAACAGUUCGGCUGAGCACUCUAAUGAGACUGCCUUCGUAAGGAGGAGGAAGGUGUGGACGACGUCAAGUCAUCAUGGCCCUUAUGUCCGGGGCGACACACGUGCUACAAUGGCAUAUACAAUGAGACGCAAUAUCGCGAGA